rnacentral:rRNA from 1 species
AUUGAACGCUGGCGGCAUGCCUUACACAUGCAAGUCGAACGGCAGCGCGGGAGCAAUCCUGGCGGCGAGUGGCGAACGGGUGAGUAAUACAUCGGAACGUGCCCAAUCGUGGGGGAUAACGCAGCGAAAGCUGUGCUAAUACCGCAUACGAUCUACGGAUGAAAGCAGGGGACCGCAAGGCCUUGCGCGAAUGGAGCGGCCGAUGGCAGAUUAGGUAGUUGGUAAGGUAAAGGCUCACCAAGCCGACGAUCUGUAGCUGGUCUGAGAGGACGACAAGCCACACUGGGACUGAGACACGGCCCAGACUCCGACGGGAGGCAGCAGUGGGGAAUUUUGGACAAUGGGCGCAAGCCUGAUCCAGCCAUGCCGCGUGCAGGAUGAAGGCCUUCGGGUUGUAAACUGUUUUUGUACGGAACGAAAAGGCUCUUUCUAAUAAAGGGGGCUCAUGACGGUACCGUAAGAAUAAGCACCGGCUAACUACGUGCCAGCAGCCGCAGUAAAAC